rnacentral:rRNA from 1 species
UGGGGAAUAUUGCACAAUGGGCGCAAGCCUGAUGCAGCCAUGCCGCGUGUGUGAAGAAGGCCUUCGGGUUGUAAAGCACUUUCAGCGAGGAGGAAGGUGGUGAACUUAAUACGUUCAUCAAUUGACGUUACUCGCAGAAGAAGCACCGGCUAACUCCGUGCCAGCAGCCGCGGUAAUACGGAGGGUGCAAGCGUUAAUCGGAAUUACUGGGCGUAAAGCGCACGCAGGCGGUUUGUUAAGUCAGAUGUGAAAUCCCCGGGCUCAACCUGGGAACUGCAUUUGAAACUGGCAAGCUAGAGUCUCGUAGAGGGGGGCUAGAAUUCCAGGUGUAGCGGUGAAAUGCGUAGAGAUCUGGAGGAAUACCGGUGGCGAAGGCGGCCCCCUGGACGAAGACUGACGCUCAGGUGCGAAAGCGUGGGGCAGCAAACAGGAUUAGAUACCCUGGUAGUCCAGCGCUGUAAACGAUGUCGAUUUGGAGGUUGUGCCCUUGAGGCGUGGCUUCCGGAGCUAACGCGUUAAAGUCGACCGCCUGGGGAGUAC